rnacentral:tRNA from 1 species
GCUAGGGUAGCCUAGUGGACACGACAUCUGCCCGGUAAGCGGAACACUGUGGAUUCGAUUCCCAUCCCUGGUU